rnacentral:lncRNA from 12 species
UCCCAUCCUCCAUUCCCUGCCAGUUUGGGCUCAGAUUGUUGGUGGGGAUCGCGGUGAAUUUGUCUUUGGGUUUUUCUCUCCCAUUGCAGGUGCAAUGGCCUUGAACUGCCAGAUGGGGUUGGAUGGGAUAUUGGGAAGGAAUUCCUGGCUGGGCUGGAAUUCCCAGAGGAGCUGUGGAUCCCUGGGAGUGUCCCAGGCCAGGCUGGAGCAGCCUGGGAUAGUGGAAGGUGCUGGGGUUGGAAUGGUUUAAGGCCCUUUUCAACCCAGACCGCUCUGGGAUUCCACACAAAGGUUUUUUGGUGCUAUUUUAUGAUUUUUUUGGGCAAAUGCAUUUUUAGUGGUGGUCACAGCCCGUGCUCCUCUCCACCCCUGGGCCCUAAUUCCAGUGGGUCCCAGGGGAGUCUGUCCUUUCCUUAUUUUGUGCUGCUGAGCCACCACGGGGAAUUCCUUUGUCCUGGAGUUCCUGCCACCUCCUGCCUCCUCCCAGGACUGAAUUAUUGGAGAAUUAUUCUCUGUGCUGGCACAGCCCAGAGCUUCCUCAUGAGGGAUUUUUCAUGGAUGCAC